GGAAGUAUGGGUUUGAAUGCUGCAAUGGAUUCAAAUGGAAUUCACAUAAUGGAAAAUGUGAGAAAUGCCCCAGAGGAUUUACCGGGAGAAGAUGUGAACUUCAUUGUGUAUAUCCAAGUUAUGGAGAUAAAUGCCAGUAUGAGUGUAGAUGUGAAUCUGCAUUAUGUGAUCCAGCUAAAGGAUGUCACGUUUUAGAAACAACAGAACAAAACUUCAUUUAUAUUAAUAGGACAACCAUAAGGAAUGUUGAACAGUUCAAUACCAAAAAUACUACAGAUGAAUACCAAUCCGUAACGGGAUUUAAAAUGAACACAGUCAUUUAUUCACCGUUGGUCAGUGGAUCAUAUCAAGCUGUCUUAAUUGCUAGUAUAUCAUCGAUUGUAUUGUUAACUUUAGUAUUAUGUGUUGUCAUAGUCCUUCGGAAUCUUAAAUUGCCAAACCAGCUGAUCAUAAAUGUUAAUGUAAACGCAUCAAAUACCACACCAGAACCAACUUAUUCAAGAGAAGUCGAAGAUAUUCAUUUAAGUCUAUAUGAAUCUCAAAAUGUUGAAUCUCCAAGCGAACAAGAUUCUUCUUUUUAUGAAGAAUUAAAGGACCAUCCUCGUGAACUUGAAAGUGCUUCGAAGCAUACAUAUUUACUUGUUCUCGACAACAAUGAGGUGGACAAUGUUGUAUUUGAUAACAACAAUCUAGAAGAGGACGUUUAUAUAUCACCUCUGAAUGAAGGAGAAAGAAAUCAAGUUACUGAUUCAAUACUGUGAUGGUAGAUAUUUCACUUAUAAAGGAGAAUGUUAUAAGUAAACAGACUUAUAUAUGAUUAUUGUGUACAUGAUUAAAAUGCUAAUUUUGUUCUCUCUCUGCGUCUGUAUCGAAAAACCUGUUCAUUUAUUGAGGUGGUUGGUGAAUACGACUCCUUGACUAGAAAAAGGUACAAGGUUUAAUAAUCACAAAAAUAAGAACAAAUGAAUUGGAUUUAUAAUCUAGUUGAGGAAAAUCAUAAAAUUUAAUGAUAAUACCCAUAUGUUACCAUGUCAUUGUAGGAUCUAAGUGUC